rnacentral:rRNA from 1 species
AUUGAACGCUGGCGGCAGGCCUAACACAUGCAAGUCGAACGGUAACAGGAAGCAGCUUGCUGCUUCGCUGACGAGUGGCGGACGGGUGAGUAAUGUCUGGGAAGCUGCCUGAUGGAGGGGGAUAACUACUGGAAACGGUAGCUAAUACCGCAUAAUGUCGCAAGACCAAAGAGGGGGACCUUCGGGCCUCUUGCCAUCGGAUGUGCCCAGAUGGGAUUAGCUUGUUGGUGGGGUAACGGCUCACCAAGGCGACGAUCCCUAGCUGGUCUGAGAGGAUGACCAGCCACACUGGGACUGAGACACGGUCCAGACUCCUACGGGAGGCAGCAGUGGGGAAUAUUGCACAAAGGGCGCAAGCCUGGUGCAGCCAUGCCGCGUGUAUGAAGAAGGCCUUCGGGUUGUAAAGUACUUUCAGCGGGGAGGAAGGGAGUAAAGUUAAUACCUUUGCUCAUUGACGUUACCCGCAGAAGAAGCACCGGCUAUCUCCGUG